rnacentral:rRNA from 1 species
AACGAACGCUGGCGGCAUGCCUAACACAUGCAAGUCGAACGAGACCUUCGGGUCUAGUGGCGCACGGGUGCGUAACGCGUGGGAACCUGCCUUUAGGUUCGGAAUAACUCAGAGAAAUUUGAGCUAAUACCGGAUGAUGUCUUCGGACCAAAGAUUUAUCGCCUUUAGAUGGGCCCGCGUUGGAUUAGCUAGUUGGUGGGGUAAAGGCCUACCAAGGCGACGAUCCAUAGCUGGUCCGAGAGGAUGAUCAGCCACACUGGGACUGAGACACGGCCCAGACUCCUACGGGAGGCAGCAGUGGGGAAUAUUGGACAAGGGGCGAAAGCCUGAUCCAGCAAUGCCGCGUGAGUGAUGAAGGCCUUAGGGUUGUAAAGCUCUUUUACCCGAGAUGAUAAUGACAGUAUCGGGAGAAUAAGCUCCGGCUAACUCCGUG